ACUGCUCAGUAACACGUGGCUAAUCUGCCCUUGGGACUAGAACAACCCCGGGAAACUGGGGCUAACUCUAGAUAGGUGAAGAACUCUGGAAUGAGUCUUUGCCUAAAUAGGUUCACGUUAUCCUCGUGAACUUGCCCAAGGAUGAGGCCGCGACCGAUCAGGUUGUUGGCGAGGUAAUGGCUCACCAAGCCUUUUACCGGUGCGGGCCGUGGGAGCGGGAGCCCGGAGAUGGGUACUGAGACAAGGACCCAGGCCCUACGGGGCGCAGCAGUCGCGAAACCUUUGCAAUACACGAAAGUGUGACAGGGCUAUCCCGAGUGCCAUCCGCUGAGGAAGGCUCUUACCCAGUCUAGAACGCUGGGGGAAUAAGGAGAGGGCAAGUCUGGUGUCAGCCGCCGCGGUAAUACCAGCUCUCCGAGUGGUGUGGAUGUUUAUUGGGCCUAAAGCAUCCGUAGCUGGCUAGGUAAGUCCCUUGUUAAAUCCACCGAAUUAAUCGUUGGAUCGCGGGGGAUACUGCUCGGCUAGGGGACGAGAGAGGCAGACGGUAUUCUCGGGGUAGGGGUGAAAUCCUAUAAUCCCGGGAAGACCACCAGUGGCGAAGGCUGUCUGCUAGAACGCGCCCGACGGUGAGGGAUGAAAGCUGGGGGAGCGAACCGGAUUAGAUACCCGGGUAGUCCCAGCUGUAAACGAUGCAGACUAGGUGUUUGAACGGCCACGUGCCGUUCUAGUGCCGCAGGGAAGCUGUUAAGUCUGCCGCCUGGGGAGUACGAUCGCAAGAUUGAAACUUAAAGGAAUUGGCGGGGGAGCAC
rnacentral:rRNA from 1 species